UUGGGACGAUGUGGAACGGGGCAAAGAAGAACGGAGCCAGAGACGAGCCGUGAAGUGAAGGGCAGGAUACAUUGAGCGCUGAUUUUUGCACAGCACAUCGCGGCCUCGGGUCCUUCCCGGGAGUC
rnacentral:rRNA from 1 species